UACGGGGGGGGCAAGCGUUGUUCGGAAUUACUGGGCGUAAAGGGCUCGUAGGCGGCCAACUAAGUCAUACGUGAAAUCCCUCGGCUUAACCGGGGAACUGCGUCUGAUACUGGAUGGCUUGAGUUCGGGAGAGGGAUGCGGAAUUCCAGGUGGUAGCGGUGAAAUGCGUAGAUAUCUGGAGGAACACCGGUGGCGAAGGCGGGUCUGCUGGGCGAGUAACUGACGCUGAGGAGCGAAAGCGUGGGGAGCGAACAGG
rnacentral:rRNA from 1 species